GGUCAAGCAAUCAAGGGCUAAUGGUGGAUACCUAGGCACACGAAGGCGAAGAAGGACGUAGCAACCUGCGAAAAGUCUCGGGGAGUUGGAAGCAAACAUUGAGCCGAGAAUGUCCGAAUGGGGCAACCCUAAAAACACACCUUUUUGAGGUGAUGAGCGAACCUGGUGAACUGAAACAUCUUAGUAGCCAGAGGAAGAGAAAACAAAAGUGAUUCCCUUAGUAGCGGCGAGCGAAGCGGGAGAAGCCUAAACCAGUGUUUACGAAUACUGGGGUAGUGGGACACCAACAUCGAAAGUAGAUGUUAAACGAACUAGCUGAAAACUAGACCAUAGAAGGUGAAAGUCCUGUAGUUGAAAACAGAAAUAAUCGUAGGUGAAUCCCGAGUAGCACGGUAUAAGAGAAAUCCCGUGUGAAUCAGCCACGACCACGUGGUAAGGCUAAAUACAAAGUGUGACCGAUAGAGAAAAGUACCGCGAGGGAAAGGUGAAAAGAACCCCGGGAGGGGAGUGAAAUAGAACAUGAAACCAUUAGCUUACAAGCAAUGGGAGUCCGAUAGAACGGAUGACCGUGUGCCUGUUGAAGAAUGAGCCGGCGACUUACAGGCUGUGGCAGGUUAAGACGGAAAGUCGAAGCCAAAGAGAAAUCGAGUCUGAAGAGGGCGUUAGUCACAGUUUGUAGACCCGAACCCGGGUGAUCUAACCAUGUCCAGGAUGAAACCACCGUAACAGGUGGUGGAGGUCCGAACCGACCAAUGUUGAAAAAUUGGCGGAUGAGGUGUGGUUAGGGGUGAAAUGCCAAUCGAACCCGGAGCUAGCUGGUUCUCCCCGAAAUGUGUUGAGGCGCAGCGGUGUGAAAUGUCAUGGGGGGUAAAGCACUGUUUCGUUGCGGGCUGCGAGAGCGGUACCAAGAUGAGACAAACUCAGAAUACCCAUGAUUGUAGCACUAGUAAGACGGUGGGGGAUAAGCUUCAUCGUCGAAAGGGAAACAGCCCAGACCAUCAGCUAAGGUCCCCAAGUAAAGACUAAGUGAUAAAGGAGGUGGGAGUGCAAAGACAACCAGGAGGUUUGCCUAGAAGCAGCCAUCCUUGAAAGAGUGCGUAAUAGCUCACUGGUCAAGCGCUCCUGCGCCGAAAAUGAACGGGGCUAAGUCUUUCACCGAAGCUAUGGACUCAUAUAUUGAGUGGUAGGGGAGCGUUCUCUAUUGGGAGAAGCAUUAGCGGCAAGCAGAUGUGGACGAUAGAGAAGUGAGAAUGUCGGCUUAAGUAGCGAAAAUUGAAGUGAGAAUCUUCAACCCCGAAAGCCUAAGGGUUUCUCCAGAAGGUUCGUCCGUGGAGAGUUAGCCCGGACCUAAGGCGAAGCGAAUAGCGUAGUCGAUGGCAAGCAGGUAAAUAUUCCUGCGUGGCGCUGCAGGAGCUAUUAAAGGGACCCAUGAAAGAUAAACUCGUCCUAAGUGGAUUGGAAGCAACCUCGGUUGUGUGAGUGUAAGGAUAGUGGCAAGAAAAGCUUUAAUAGUGUUGAAUGUAGAGUCCCGGUACCCGAAACCGACACAGGUAGGCAAGUAGAGAAUACUAAGGGGAGCGAGUUAACUCUCUCUAAGGAACUCGGCAAAAUGACCCCGUAACUUCGGGAGAAGGGGUGCCACCGAGAGGUGGUUGCAGUGAAAAGGCCCAGGCGACUGUUUAGCAAAAACAUAGGUCUCUGCAAACUCGAAAGAGGAAGUAUAGGGGCUGACGCCUGCCCAGUGCCGGAAGGUUAAAGAAGUUGGUCAGUCUUAGGAUGAAGCUAGCGACUGAAGCCCCGGUGAACGGCGGCCGUAACUAUAACGGUCCUAAGGUAGCGAAAUUCCUUGUCGGGUAAGUUCCGACCCGCACGAAAGGCGUAACGAUCUGGGCGCUGUCUCGGAGAGAGGCUCGGCGAAAUAGGAUUGUCUGUGAAGAUACGGACUACCUGCACUUGGACAGAAAGACCCUAUGAAGCUUUACUAUAGCUUGGAAUUGUGUUCGGGCCUGCUGUGCGCAGGAUAGGUGGGAGACGUAGAAAUUAUCCUUGUGGGGAUAAUGGAGUCAAUGGUGAGAUACCACUCUCAGAAGGCUAGAAUUCUAACUCUUAAAUGAGGACAGUUUCAGGUGGGUAGUUUGACUGGGGCGGUCGCCUCCAAAAAGGUAACGGAGGCGUACAAAGGUUACCUCAGACUGGUUGGAAAUCAGUCGAAGAGUGCAAAGGCAGAAGGUAGCUUGACUGCGAGACCAACAAGUCGAGCAGGGUGGAAACACGGUCUUAGUGAUCCGACGGUGCUGUGUGGAAGGGCCGUCGCUCAACGGAUAAAAGUUACUCUAGGGAUAACAGGCUGAUCUCCCCCAAGAGUUCACAUCGACGGGGAGGUUUGGCACCUCGAUGUCGGCUCAUCGCAACCUGGGGCGGAAGUACGUCCCAAGGGUUGGGCUGUUCGCCCCAUUAAAGCGGUACGUGAGCUGGGUUCAGAACGUCGUGAGACAGUUCGGUCCAUAUCCGGUGCAGGCGUGAGAAUAUUGAGAGGAGCCUUCCUUAGUACGAGAGGACCGGGAAGGACGUACCUCUGGUGUACCAGUUAUUGUGCCAACAGUAAACGCUGGGUAGCCAAGUACGGAGUGGAUAACCGCUGAAAGCAUCUAAGUGGGAAGCCCACCUCAAGAUGAGUAUUCUGGUGUAAGGUCACGGGAAGAACACCCGUUAAUAGGCACGAGGUGGAAGUGCAGUAAUGUAUGGAGCCGAAGUGUACUAACAGACCGUCAGCUUGACCUA
rfam:Cyanobacterium stanieri PCC 7202, complete genome.